UGAGGAAUAUUGCACAAAUGGAGGAAACUCUGAUGCAGCAACGCCGCGUGGAGGAUGACGCAAAUUUCGGUGUGUAAACUCCUUUUAUGAGUCAAGAAAAUGACGGUAGCUCAUGAAUAAGCACCGGCUAACUCCGUGCCAGCAGCCGCGGUAAUACGGAGGGUGCAAGCGUUAUUCGGAAUCACUGGGCGUAAAGGACGCGUAGGCGGGAUGCCAAGUCUGAUGUGAAAUCCUAUGGCUUAACCAUAGAACUGCAUUGGAAACUGGUGACCUAGAGUAUGGGAGGGGGAGAUGGAAUUAGUGGUGUAGGGGUAAAAUCCGUAGAUAUCACUAGGAAUACCGAAAGCGAAGGCGAUCUCCUGGAACAAUACUGACGCUAAGGCGUGAAAGCGUGGGGAGCAAACG
rnacentral:rRNA from 1 species